GAAGUUUUCAGAGAUGAGAAUGUGCCUUCGGGAACCGUGAGACAGGUGCUGCAUGGCUGUCGUCAGCUCGUGUUGUGAAAUGUUGGGUUAAGUCCCGCAACGAGCGCAACCCUUAUCCUUUGUUGCCAGCGGUCCGGCCGGGAACUCAAAGGAGACUGCCAGUGAUAAACUGGAGGAAGGUGGGGAUGACGUCAAGUCAUCAUGGCCCUUACGACCAGGGCUACACACGUGCUACAAUGGCGCAUACAAAGAGAAGCGACCUCGCGAGAGCAAGCGGACCUCAUAAAGUGCGUCGUAGUCCGAAUUGGAGUCUGCAACUCGACUCCAUGAAGUCGGAAUCGCUAGUAAUCGUGGAUCAGAAUGCCACGGUGAAUACGUUCCCGGGCCUUGUACACACCGCCCGUCACACCAUGGGAGUGGGUUGCAAAAGAAGUAGGUAGCUUAACCUUCGGGAGGGCGCUUACCACUUUGUGAUUCAUGACUGGGGUGAAGUCGUAACAAGGUAACCGUAGGGGAACCUGCGGUUGGAUCACCUCCUUACCUUAAAGAA
rnacentral:rRNA from 1 species